AACGAACGCUGGCGGCAUGCCUAACACAUGCAAGUCGAACGAGACCUUCGGGUCUAGUGGCGCACGGGUGCGUAACGCGUGGGAACCUGCCCUUAGGUUCGGAAUAACUCCCCGAAAGGGGUGCUAAUACCGGAUAAUGUCUUCGGACCAAAGAUUUAUCGCCUUUGGAUGGGCCCGCGUUGGAUUAGCUAGUUGGUAGGGUAAAAGCCUACCAAGGCGACGAUCCAUAGCUGGUCUGAGAGGAUGAUCAGCCACACUGGGACUGAGAAACGGCCCAGACUCCUACGGGAGGCAGCAGUGGGGAAUAUUGGACAAUGGGCGAAAGGCUGAUCCAGCAAUGCCGCGUGAGUGAUGAAGGCCUUAGGGUUGUAAAGCUCUUUUACCCGGGAUGAUAAUGACAGUACCGGGAGAAUAAGCUCCGGCUAACUCCGUG
rnacentral:rRNA from 1 species